GCUUGCACUAAGAUGAUUUUGGAUCCGACUGAGUGGCGAACUGGUGAGUAACACGUGGGUAACCUGCCCAGAAGAAGGGGAUAACACCUGGAAACAGAUGCUAAUACCGUAUAACAACAAGAACCACAUGGUUCUUGUUUGAAAGCUGGCCUUUGUGCUAGUGCUUCUGGAUGGACCCGCGGCGUAUUAGCUAGUUGGUGAGAUAAUAGCUCACCAAGGCAAUGAUACGUAGCAGACCUGAGAGGGUAAUCUGCCACAAUGGGACUGAGACACGGCCCAUACUCCUACGGGAGGCAGCAGUAGGGAAUCUUCCACAAUGGACGAAAGUCUGAUGGAGCAACGCCGCGUGAGUGAAGAAGGGUUUCGGCUCGUAAAACUCUGUUGUUAGAGAAGAACAGCCGUGAGAGCAACUGCUCACGGUAUGACGGUAUCUAACCAGAAAGUCACGGCUAACUACGUGCCAGCAGCCGCGGUAAUACGUAGGUGGCAAACGUUGUCCCGGAUUUAUUGGGCGUAAAGGGAGCGCAGGCGGUUUAUUAAGUCUGAUGUGAAAGCCUUCGGCUUAACCCGGAGAAAAUGCAUCGGAAACUGAUAAACUUGAGUGCAAAAAAAGAUAGUGGGGGGGGGGGGGGGGGCGGUUAAAUGCGUUAAAUAUAUUAAAGGAACACCAAUGGCGAAAGCCGGCUUCUGGUNUUUANNUNAAANAAGGCNCNNCNCCCCCNUUUUUUCGGGG
rnacentral:rRNA from 1 species